rnacentral:rRNA from 1 species
GGGCCCGCACAAGCAGUGGAGCAUGUGGUUUAAUUCGAUGCAACGCGAAGAACCUUACCAGGCCUUGACAUCCUCGGAACUUUCUAGAGAUAGAUUGGUGCCUUCGGGAACCGAGUGACAGGUGCUGCAUGGCUGUCGUCAGCUCGUGUCGUGAGAUGUUGGGUUAAGUCCCGUAACGAGCGCAACCCUUGUCCUUAGUUGCCAGCACAUUAUGGUGGGAACUCUAAGGAGACUGCCGGUGACAAACCGGAGGAAGGUGGGGAUGACGUCAAGUCCUCAUGGCCCUUAUGGGCUGGGCUACACACGUGCUACAAUGGCAGUGACAGAGGGACGCUACUUCGCGAGAAGAUGCAAA